UGUAACAUUCAUAUUACCUGUCUUUUGUUUUCAAGUGUAAUCCAAGGACUUCUGAAAGAUAAAGUAACAAUUUUGGUCACACAUCAAAGGCAGUACAUCAAACUCUCCGAUGAAGUAAUUUUCAUUUCUAAGAAUGGGACAAUGGAGAGAAAAAUUGGAAAAGAAAAUCUUCAAAUAAUGAACGAUUCAGAAAUAGAUGGAUUUUCAGGACUUGACACGGAACACGUUGACAUACAACACAGUAAAUUUGAACGUAUCAACAAUGAACGGACGGGACUAGGGGACACUUCAAAUGAAUCGACAACAUUAAAAAUUGAUGUGACGGUGAGUGUCAAUACCUAACUGAGUUUAAAGGCUGUAUUGAAUUCACUUU